GUCUUUUUGAAAAUAAUUUAAAGUCUAAUCUGCCAAGUGAUGUAUUUAACGGCUGCAGUAUUUUGACUGUACAAAGGUAGCAUAAUCAAUAGAUUUAUAAUUGAAAUCUGGAAUGAAUGAUUGAAUGAAAAAUUGACUGUUUCAAUUUAAUUGAUGUAAAACUUUAUUUUUAAGUUAAAAAGCUUAAAUUUAAUUUAAAGACGAGAAGACCCUAUAGAAUUUUAUAAAUUUGUUGGUUAAAAUUAAUAAAUUUAUUUGAUUGGGGUGAUUUUAAAAUUUAAAAAACUUUUAAAUAAAAUUUUCAUUUAUUUAUGUAUAAUUGAUCCAAUAUAAAUAUAUUGAUUAAUAGAAUAAAUUACCUUAGGGAUAACAGCGUAAUUUUUUUGGAAAGUUCUUAUUGAUAAAAAAGAUUGCGACCUCGAUGUUGGAUUAAAAUUAAAUUAAGGUGUAGAAGCUUUAAUAUUUAGUCUGUUCGACUAUUUAAAUUUUACA
rnacentral:rRNA from 1 species